rnacentral:rRNA from 2 species
UGGGGAAUAUUGCACAAUGGAGGAAACUCUGAUGCAGCGACGCCGCGUGAACGAUGAAGGCUUUCGAGUCGUAAAGUUCUGUCCUAGGGGACGAUAAUGACGGUACCCUAGGAGGAAGCCCCGGCUAACUACGUGCCAGCAGCCGCGGUAAUACGUAGGGGGCAAGCGUUGUCCGGAUUUAUUGGGCGUAAAGGGUACGCAGGUGGUUUUUUAAGUCAGAUGUGAAAUCUUACGGCUCAACCGUAAUCAGCAUUUGAAACUGGAAGACUUGAAUCAAGGAGAGGAAAGUGGAAUUCCUAGUGUAGCGGUGAAAUGCGUAGAUAUUAGGAGGAAUACCAGUGGCGAAGGCGACUUUCUGGACUUGUAUUGACACUGAGGUACGAAAGCGUGGGGAGCAAACA